rnacentral:lncRNA from 1 species
AGGGAGAAAUACUUGAGAAUUCAGUGUUGCCACAUUUAGACCACAUUGCGAAAGAUCGGGAUAUUUUUGUGCAGAUCCGAGGUGUCCAGCUUCUGGUCGAUGUUAUUGCAUCCUCUGAUUCACCGAAAGUUUGCGAUGUUUUGCAUACAAUCGAGAAGAUUGCCACUGUCCAGUAGAUCCUCUCAAGCGAUACGUCAAGCCGUCGUGUAAAGAACAUGUAAGAAGAUUAGUGGUUAUAAAUUACAUUGGAGUGAACGAAAGGUUCCAGUGACGUUAGAGGUA